rnacentral:sRNA from 1 species
AGUUUUCGCCGCGGCUUCUCCUCCCAAUAGCCGCUGCGAAUAGAACCUGCGAACUCCUCCCCCCAAAAUCGCAGGUUUCCAAACGACCCCCGCCGGUCCUCCCCCGGCGGGUGUUGUCG